GCUGAGUGUUGUGGGGCCCACACAUAGUCCCAGCUACUCAGAAGGCUAAGGUGGGACAAUUACUUGAGCCCAGGAGUUCUGGUCUGUAAUGCACUAUGCCCAUCAGGUGUCUGCAUUAAGCCUGGCAUCAAUAUGGUAGACUUCCAAGUAGUGGGACAUUACCAGGGAUGAUGAACUGGACCAGGUCAAAAACAGAGCAGGUCCAAAGUCCCAUGCUUUUUAGUAGCAGGAUCAUGCCUGUGAAUAGCCACUAUGCUUCAGCCUGAGCAAGAUAGUGAGACACUGUUUUUU
rnacentral:SRP_RNA from 1 species